GCAAGUCGAGCGAACAGAUAAGGAGCUUGCUCCUUUGAAGUUAGCGGCGGACGGGUGAGUAACACGUGGGUAACCUACCUAUAAGACUGGGAUAACUUCGGGAAACCGGAGCUAAUACCGGAUAACAUUUAGAACCGCAUGGUUCUAAAGUGAAAGAUGGUUUUGCUAUCACUUAUAGAUGGACCCGCGCCGUAUUAGCUAGUUGGUAAGGUAACGGCUUACCAAGGCGACGAUACGUAGCCGACCUGAGAGGGUGAUCGGCCACACUGGAACUGAGACACGGUCCAGACUCCUACGGGAGGCAGCAGUAGGGAAUCUUCCGCAAUGGGCGAAAGCCUGACGGAGCAACGCCGCGUGAGUGAUGAAGGGUUUCGGCUCGUAAAACUCUGUUAUUAGGGAAGAACAAAUGUGUAAGUAACUGUGCACAUCUUGACGGUACCUAAUCAGAAAGCCACGGCUAACUACGUGCCAGCAGCCGCGGUAAUACGUAGGUGGCAAGCGUUAUCCGGAAUUAUUGGGCGUAAAGCGCGCGUAGGCGGUUUCUUAAGUCUGAUGUGAAAGCCCACGGCUCAACCGUGGAGGGUCAUUGGAAACUGGGAAACUUGAGUGCAGAAGAGGAAAGUGGAAUUCCAUGUGUAGCGGUGAAAUGCGCAGAGAUAUGGAGGAACACCAGUGGCGAAGGCGACUUUCUGGUCUGUAACUGACGCUGAUGUGC
rnacentral:rRNA from 1 species